GACGAACGCUGGCGGCGUGCUUAACACAUGCAAGUCGUACGAGACGAUUGAAAGCUUGCUUUUGAAAGUCGAGUGGCAAACGGGUGAGUAACGCGUAGACAACCUGCCGUAAAGAUGGGGACAACAGUUCGAAAGGACUGCUAAUACCGAAUGUUGUAGAGUUUCCGCAUGGGAAUCCUACUAAAGGUGGCCUCUACUUGUAAGCUAUCGCUUUACGAUGGGUCUGCGUCUGAUUAGCUAGUUGGUGGGGUAACGGCCUACCAAGGCGACGAUCAGUAGCCGGUCUGAGAGGAUGAACGGCCACAUUGGGACUGAGACACGGCCCAG
rnacentral:rRNA from 1 species